UACGGAGGGUGCAAGCGUUGUCCGGAUUUAUUGGGUUUAAAGGGUGCGUAGGCGGCCCGUUAAGUCAGUGGUGAAAUCCCAGGGCUCAACCCUGGAACUGCCAUUGAUACUGACGGGCUUGAGUUCGGUUAAGGCGGGCGGAACUGGUGGUGUAGCGGUGAAAUGCAUAGAUACCACCAAAAACCCCGAUUGCGUAGGCAGCUCGCUGAGCCGAAACUGACGCUGAGGCACGAAAGCGUGGGGAGCGAACAGG
rnacentral:rRNA from 1 species